UACGGAGGAUGCGAGCGUUAUCCGGAUUUAUUGGGUUUAAAGGGUGCGCGGGCGGCGUGUCAAGUCAGCGGUAAAAUGUCGGGGCUCAACCCCGGCCGGCCGUUGAAACUGGCGUGCUCGAGUUGGAGAGAAGUAUGCGGAAUUCGUGGUGUAGCGGUGAAAUGCAUAGAUAUCACGAAGAACCCCGAUUGCGAAGGCAGCAUACCGGCUCCACACUGACGCUGAGGCACGAAAGCGUGGGUAUCGAACAGG
rnacentral:rRNA from 1 species